UUUUCAGUAUAAAAAAGAAAAAGCAAAUAGCAAUAUUUAUGUAAUGAAUGUCUCGUUUUACCCGCAAUCCAAUUCGAAUUUAUUGCACUUAACUUGUGCAAAAUGUUAACAUUUAAUCAAAUCAAAACAAGCUAACCAACCCAAUCUCAUGCCCAUAUCUUUGGAUAAAACGGCAAAAAACGCAAUAAAUAUUUGAUUGGUUUUUAUGGCGGAAAAAAGCGAAAAAUGCAAAUAAAAGUAAAUAAAAACAUAUGCAUAUAAUUAGUAGCGAGCUAAAAGUUUGAUUUGACCAGUAAAAUUAAACGAUGAAAUGGAAACGGCAUGGAAUAAAAUCAAUUUUGCACUGAGAAUGAAAUCGAGUCGAAAAUCCAAGCAAAUGCCAUAUUGCACCUGCCGAGACUGCUGUGCCUCCAAAGCAGUGUUUAAUACUAUGGAAACUGAAUCCGGACUCAACGGCUUGCUGCUAGAUUUUAGUUAAUAUUUUUAGUCCAUUUCCUACAUAUAUCCAAAUUACAUCCGAGUUGUUAAGAAACAGCGUCUAGUUUGAACAAGUAAUUUGUAAAUGUAAA